CGAGGGGCAGCGGGGAGCAAGCUUGCUUGCUCUGCCGGCGACCGGCGCACGGGUGAGUAACACGUAUGCAACCUGCCCUCCGCAGGGGGAUAACCCGGAGAAAUCCGGACUAAUACCGCGUGGUACACUUGUGGGGCAUCCCACGGGUGUUAAAAGGAAGUGAUUCCGGCGGAGGAUGGGCAUGCGGCGCAUUAGCUGGUUGGCGGGGUAACGGCCCACCAAGGCGACGAUGCGUAGGGGUUCUGAGAGGAAGGUCCCCCACACUGGUACUGAGACACGGACCAGACUCCUACGGGAGGCAGCAGUGAGGAAUAUUGGUCAAUGGGCGGGAGCCUGAACCAGCCAAGUCGCGUGAGGGAAGACGGUCCUAUGGAUUGUAAACCUCUUUAGGCGGGGAGCAAUGCCGGGCACGCGUGCCCGGAGGGAGAGUACCCGCAGAAUAAGCAUCGGCUAACUCCGUGCCAGCAGCCGCGGUAAUACGGAGGAUGCGAGCGUUAUCCGGAUUUAUUGGGUUUAAAGGGCGCGUAGGCGGAUUUUUAAGUCAGCGGUAAAAUGUCCGGGCUCAACCCGGGCCGGCCGUUGAAACUGGGGAUCUUGAGUGGGCGAGAAGUAUGCGGAAUGCGUGGUGUAGCGGUGAAAUGCAUAGAUAUCACGCAGAACUCCGAUUGCGAAGGCAGCAUACCGGCGCCCGACUGACGCUGAGGCACGAAAGCGUGGGGAUCGAACAGGAUUAGAUACCCUGGUAGUCCACGCAGUAAACGAUGAAUGCUAGUUGUCCGGUUCUUUGGGACUGGGUGACACAGCGAAAGCGUUAAGCAUUCCACCUGGGGAGUAC
rnacentral:rRNA from 1 species